rnacentral:rRNA from 1 species
CAGCCGUAAACUAUGCUCGCUAGGUGUCAGGCAUGGCGCGACCGUGUCUGGUGCCGCAGGGAAGCCGUGAAGCGAGCCACCUGGGAAGUACGGCCGCAAGGCUGAACUUAAAGGAUUGGCGGGGGAGCACCACAACGGGUGGAGCCUGCGGCUUAAUUGGACUCAACGCCGGGAAGCUCACCGGGAUAAGACAGCGGAAUGAUUGCCGGGCUGAAGACUCUGCAUGACUAGCUGAGAGGGUGGUGCAUGGCGUAGACGUCU